AGCCAUGCAGUUAACACAAAGCGAACUAUUCUUUCGCCUUUUACUAAAGAAUACCGUGUGUUAGCUGCUAUUUAUGGCAUAAGUCUAUUUUUGGAGGGGUCUUUUUACUUAAGCCCC